rnacentral:rRNA from 1 species
GGAAAUAGCCCAGCACUGAAUCCCGCGGUUGUCACGGCCGCGGGAGAUGUGGUGUUCGGGAGGUUCCGCUUUCUCGUCGUCGCAUCUCCUGUCCAAGUUCGUCUUGAACGGGGCCGUUUUCCCGUAGAGGGUGCCAGGCCCGUAGCGACGGAGGGCGGCGGCGAGAGGGACUCUCCUCAGAGUCGGGUUGCUUGAGAGUGCAGCCCUAAGUGGGUGGUAAACUCCAUCUAAGGCUAAAUAUUACCGCGAGACCGAUAGCGAACAAGUACUA